GCCGCCGUCCGCCCCGCUAUAAAGGGCGCGGUGCGAGCUCGUGUGUCCUCUCGGCGGCCAUGGAGGGCGGGCGGUGUGAUGUGGUCUCGCUUUUGUGUCAGGCAGCAGGGAGGGGCCGUGCGCUCCAGAGGAGGGAGUUUGCCUGCGGGAGAAGGAACUCCUGUAAAGAGAUGCCAGAGUCUCACAUAAGUUGACAGGAGACAUGGUGACUGAACAUGCUCAGUGUGACCCUCAUCCGGGAGACUGCCUGUGAGCUGCGCCCUAGUUUAAGAUUCAAAAUGUGAGAAGGAAGGGGCCUGGCUCCAUGCGCUGUGUCAGGCAGACUGUGGACCUUGUGCAAGUAAGUGGCUAUUGCAGCGUGUCACUGGGUAUGGAGUACCCCAAGGACACUGCCCACCCAUCUGGGCCUUUGCCCAGUUCCUGCACUGACUAAAGACAGUCAUCUUGUUGUUGGCUACUGUGUUUUGCCUGAGACAGGAAAAUACCACAGGGAAGAGUGACUUUUUAAGUAGAGCCCAAGUGUGGUUCUUGGCACCAAGAACAUGGGCAAGUUGUGGUUGGAACCUGGGAAUUGAAACGAAUGGCUGAAGUUUUAAGCAAAAAACAUUAAAGUAAGCUAAAGAGUU